GCAGGGAGAGGUCAGUGGUAGGGCACGUGCUUAGCAGGCACGAGGUUCCGGGUUCCAUCCCCGGUACCUCUA
rnacentral:tRNA from 1 species